GUCCUCCUAUUUUCAGUUGGUUUUGGCAGCGCGAGGACUAGGGUAAUGAUUAAUAGGGAUAGUUGGGGGCAUUAAUAUUUAAUUGUCAGAGGUGAAAUUCUUGGAUUUAUGAAAGAUUAACUUCUGCGAAAGCAUCUGCCAAGGAUGUUUUCAUUAAUCAAGAACGAAAGUUAGGGGAUCGAAGACGAUCAGAUACCGUCGUAGUCUUAACCAUAAACGAUGCGAGACCAGCGAUUAGGAGACGUUGAAUACAAAACUUCU
rnacentral:rRNA from 1 species